GCAGCGUGAGUGACGAAGGCCUUAGGGUUGUAAAACUCUUUCAUCGGUGAGGAUAAUGACAGUAGCCGAAGAAGAAGGACCGGCUAAUUCCGUGCCAGCAGCCGCGGUAAUACGGAAGGUCCUAGCGUUGUUCGGAAUUACUGGGCGUAAAGCGCAUGUAGGCGGAACAGAAAGUUAGAAGUGAAAUCCCUGGGCUCAACCUAGGAAUUGCUUUUAAAACUUCUGUUCUGGAAUUCAGGAGAGGAAAAUGGAAUUUCCAGUGUAGAGGUGAAAUUCGUAGAUAUUGGAAGGAACACCAGUGGCGAAGGCGAUUUUCUGGACUGAUAUUGACGCUGAGAUGCGAAGGCAUGGGUAGCAAACGGGAUUAGAUACCCCGGUAGUCCAUGCAGUAAACGAUGGGUGCUAGUCGUCGGACUUUUGUUCGGUGUCGUAGCUAACGCGUUAAGCACCCCGCCUGGGGAGUACGGUCGCAAGAUUAAAACUCAAAUAAAUUGACGGGGACCCGCACAAGCAGUGGAGCAUGUGGUUUAAUUCGACGCAACGCGAAGAACCUUACCAGCGUUUGACAUGGAAAGUACCGGUUACAGAAUGGUAACCUUCAGUUCGGCUGGCUUUCGCACAGGUGCUGCAUGGCUGUCGUCAGCUCGUGUCGUGAGAUGUUGGGUUAAGUCCCGCAACGAGCGCAACCCUUAUCGUUAGUUACUAACAGUUCGGCUGAGGACUCUAGCGAAACUGCCGGUGAUAAGCCGGAGGAAGGUGGGGAUGACGUCAAGUCCUCAUGGCCCUUACACGCUGGGCUACACACGUGCUACAAUGGUAACUACAACGGGACGCAAUACCGCGAGGUGGAGCAAAUCCCCAAAAGUUAUCUCAGUUCGGAUUGCACUCUGCCACUCGAGUGCAUGAA
rnacentral:rRNA from 1 species